rnacentral:rRNA from 1 species
AACGAACGCUGGCGGCGUGCCUAACACAUGCAAGUCGAGCGCGAAUAGGGGCAACCCUUAGUAGAGCGGCGCACGGGUGCGUAACACGUGGGUAAUCUGCCUGGAAGCUCGGGAUAACUAGCCGAAAGGUUAGCUAAUACCGGAUAAGCCCCCGGGGACUUCGGUCCUUGAGGGAAAAGAUGGCCUCUGUAUACAAGCUAUCACUACCAGAUGAGCCCGCGGCCCAUCAGCUAGUUGGCGGGGUAAUGGCCCACCAAGGCAACGACGGGUAGCGGGUCGGAGAGGACGAUCAGCCACACUGGAACUGAGACACGGUCCUGACGCCUACGAGAGGCAGCAGUGGGGAAUUUUGCGCAAUGGGCGAAAGCCUGACGCAGCAACGCCGCGUGUGUGAUGAAGGUCUUCAGAUUGUAAAGCACUUUCGACCGGGACGAAACUCCUUCACCUAAUACGUGGGGGCCUGACGGUACCGGGAGAAGAAGCACCGGCUAACUCUGUGCCAGCCGCCGCAGUAACAC